CAUUUUCCCACCGCUUCUCUAACCAUCAAAACCACCCUCCUCUUCUUCCUCUCUCUCACUCGCUCGCAAGUCACAGCCAAAUUCCACUUUCUCUUCUUCUUCAUCUUGGCCAAUGGAUCCUGUUAGUGUGUGGGGAAAUACUCCCCUCAAAACCAUCGACCCAGAAAUCCACGACCUCAUCGAGAAGGAGAAGCGUCGGCAAUGUCGCGGCAUCGAGCUCAUUGCCUCUGAAAACUUCACCUCCUUCGCUGUCAUCGAGGCUCUAGGAAGUGCCUUGACCAACAAGUACUCAGAGGGUAUGCCCGGAAAUCGCUACUAUGGCGGGAAUGAGUUCAUCGAUGAAAUCGAGAGCCUGUGUAGGUCACGUGCUCUCCAAGCCUUUCACUUGGAUCCUGCCAAGUGGGGUGUGAAUGUGCAGCCUUAUUCUGGUUCUCCGGCGAAUUUCGCUGCCUACACGGCGGUGCUGGAACCUCAUGAUCGCAUAAUGGGUCUGGAUCUUCCCUCCGGUGGCCAUCUUACUCAUGGGUACUAUACUGCUGGAGGGAAGAAGGUAUCUGCGACCUCGAUUUACUUCGAGAGUCUUCCGUAUAAGGUGAAUUCAAGUACUGGUUAUCUUGAUUAUGACAAGUUGGAGGAGAAGGCCUUGGAUUUUAGGCCUAAGUUGAUCAUUUGUGGUGGAAGCGCGUACCCAAGAGACUGGGAUUAUGCAAGGUUCAGGGAGGUUGCAGAUAAGUGUGGAGCUCUUUUGCUCUGUGAUAUGGCUCACAUUAGUGGUCUUGUUGCUGCUCAGGAAGCUAAUAACCCUUUUGAGUAUUGUGACUUAGUCACAACAACAACGCACAAGAGCCUGAGAGGUCCUAGAUCUGGUAUGAUCUUUUACAGGAAGGGGCCAAAACCACCGAAGAAAGGCCAGCUUGAGGAUGCAGUUUAUGACUUUGAAGACAAGAUCAACUUUGCUGUCUUCCCUUCCCUUCAAGGUGGUCCUCACAAUCACCAGAUCGGUGCUCUCGCCGUUGCCCUGAAACAAGCCAUGUCACCUGGCUUCAAGGCCUAUGCCAAGCAAGUUAAGGCAAAUGCAGUUGCCAUUGGAAAUUACUUGAUAGGCAAAGGCUAUAGCAUUGUCACUGGAGGAACUGAGAAUCAUCUUGUUUUGUGGGAUCUGAGGCCUCUUGGUUUGACUGGCAAUAAGGUGGAAAAAGUUUGUGAUCUCUGUAACAUCACAGUGAACAAAAAUGCUAUUUUUGGUGAUAGCAGUGCCUUUGCUCCUGGAGGAGUAAGAAUUGGAACUCCUGCCAUGACAUCUAGAGGCUUGCUUGAGAAGGACUUUGAGAAGAUUGGCGAGUUCCUUCACCGUGCAGUGUCUCUCACACAGGAAAUCCAAAAGCAGCAUGGCAAGCUUUUGAAGGACUUCAACAAAGGCUUGGUGAACAAUAAGGCUAUUGAAGAACUGAGAGCUGAUGUUGAGAAAUUUUCAUCCUCAUUUGAGAUGCCUGGCUUCCCGGCAUCAGAGAUGAAGUACAAGGAUUAAGUUGGAUCAUAUAAACCCCUGAUAUUCCUUCCUCUUAUAUGUUUCUUGUAGAGCUAAGCUAUGAUAUAUGAAGAAGGUCUAAGAAGCUACUUUACUAUAUGCUGAUGAUAUCUGUGGUGGGUUUGCUUCAAGCGGUAUAGCCUUGACAACAAAUGCUUGGCAAAGACAACUUCAGGUGUUUUUUCUGUUUCACGCAACCAUCUUAACACUGUUGAAAACGAGCUGCUAGCUUCACGCUGGAUCCCCAAUGGAAUGAGAGUGAUAUUCACUUCAGACGCAAAUGUUGUCUUGGUUGCUAAAAGGAUCUCAAAACAUAUUUAACUCUACAUGUUGGUUUGAAGCUGCAAAAAAUAGGUUUCCUUUGUCAUUUCCAUUCUCGCUCACGUGUCCCCCUACUAUAUAAACCUGCUGUAAAAAUUUUGAGCUCAUUUUGUAAUUGUUCACUAUAAAGUACUGUUGUACUGAGGACUAUAAAAAAUUACUAAGAUUGUUGGCGGGCUGAUGUUUCUUGAA